UCUAAUAUGGCAGAUUAGUGCAAUGAAUUUAAGCUUCAUAUAUAAAGAUUAUUCUUUUAUUAGAA
rnacentral:tRNA from 6 species